rfam:Peptococcaceae bacterium SCADC1_2_3 contig_11, whole genome shotgun sequence.
UGAGUAAACUGGGUGAUCGCGGGUGUGAUUUUUUAAAGAUUACACUUGAGGAAAGUCCGAGCUCCACAGGGCAGGGUGCUGGGUAACACCCAGUGGGGGCAACCCUAAGGAAAGUGCCACAGAAAUGAAGACCGCCGUUUUGGUCAUCAGUUAACAACUGACGACCAAAACGGUAAGGGUGCAACGGUGCGGUAAGAGCGUACCAGCGGCCGGGUGACCGGCCGGCUAGGUAAACCCCACCUGGAGCAAGACCAAAUAGGGGAAUAACAAGUGGCCCGCUUUAAUUCCCGGGUAAGGUCGCUUGAGGCGGCAGGUAACUGUCGUCCUAGAUAGAUGAUCAUCCUUGACAGAACUCGGCUUACAGGUUUACUCACUUU